rnacentral:tRNA from 2 species
GUAGACGUAGUUUAAUAAAAACAUUAGAUUGUGAUUCUAAAGAUAGAGGUUAAAAACCCCUCAUCCACC